GAAAUGCGAUAAGUAAUGUGAAUUGCAGAAUUCAGUGAAUCAUCGAAUCUUUGAACGCACAUUGCGCCCGCCAGAAUUCUGGCGGGCAUGCCUGUUCGAGCGUCAUUUCAACCCUCGAGCUCCCCUUUCGGGGGGAACCCGGCGUUGGGGACCCGGCGCUAACAACGCCGGCCCCGAAAUGGAGUGGCGGCCCGUCCGCGGCGACCUCUGCGUAGUAACAACCACUCGCACCGGGACCCGGGCGCGGCCACGCCGUAAAACACCCCACCUUCCGAAUGUUGACCUCGAAUCAGGUAGGAAUACCCGCUGAACUUAAGC
rnacentral:misc_RNA from 1 species